AAAACGACUCUCGGCAACGGAUAUCUCGGCUCUCGCAUCGAUGAAGAACGUAGCGAAAUGCGAUACUUGGUGUGAAUUGCAGAAUCCCGUGAACCAUCGAGUCUUUGAACGCAAGUUGCGCCCCAAGCCGUCAGGCCGAGGGCACGUCUGCCUGGGUGUCACGC
rnacentral:rRNA from 13 species